rnacentral:tRNA from 1 species
CCAGUAGCUCAGUAGGAUAGAGCAACGGCCUUCUAAGCCGUAGGUCAGGGGUUCGAAUCCCUUCUG